rnacentral:rRNA from 1 species
CCUACGGGAGGCAGCAGUGAGGAAUAUUGGUCAAUGGACGAGAGUCUGAACCAGCCAAGUAGCGUGAAGGAUGACUGCCCUAUGGGUUGUAAACUUCUUUUAUAAAGGAAUAAAACGAGGCACGUGUGCCUUUUUGCAUGUACUUUAUGAAUAAGGAUCGGCUAACUCCGUGCCAGCAGCCGCGGUAAUACGGAGGAUCCGAGCGUUAUCCGGAUUUAUUGGGUUUAAAGGGAGCGUAGAUGGGUUGUUAAGUCAGUUGUGAAAGUUUGCGGCUCAACCGUAAAAUUGCAAUUGAUACUGGCAGUCUAGAGUACAGUUGAGGUAGGCGGAAUUCGUGGUGUAGCGGUGAAAUGCUUAGAUAUCACGAAGAACCCCGAUUGCGAAGGCAGCUUCCUAAACUGUGACUGACAUUGAUGCUCGAAAGUGUGGGUAUCAAACAGGAUUAGAUACCCUUGUAGUC